rnacentral:snRNA from 1 species
GGAAGUGAGGGUAUCUGACUGCAACCUCUGUCAUCCCAUGAUCUCCGGGGUUGAUCCAGCUACUCUGGCUGGCAAGGCAGCUGCCUCCUUCCUCCUUCAGCACUCCCUGUGAGUUCCUCUUGAAGCUGCGCACUCAGAGAGGACGACCACCCGCAUAGAGGAGAACCGUUCCUCUGUCAUGGGUGUAUGAGUAGCAGUGGUCCCCCGCGAGAAUCUCCGAACAAGAUCUCAAAUUUUAGUGAAAGUGCUCCUCAUCCGGAAGCCUCCACAACUCCUGUCUGUGUGGGAUGGUAC